rnacentral:rRNA from 1 species
AGUGAACGCUGGCGGUAGACCUAACACAUGCAAGUCGAACGGCAGCACAGUAAGAGCUUGCUCUUACGGGUGGCGAGUGGCGGACGGGUGAGGAAUACAUCGGAAUCUACUUUUUCGUGGGGGAUAACGUAGGGAAACUUACGCUAAUACCGCAUACGACCUACGGGUGAAAGCAGGGGAUCUUCGGACCUUGCGCGAUUGAAUGAGCCGAUGUCGGAUUAGCUAGUUGGCGGGGUAAAGGCCCACCAAGGCGACGAUCCGUAGCUGGUCUGAGAGGAUGAUCAGCCACACUGGAACUGAGACACGGUCCAGACUCCUACGGGAGGCAGCAGUGGGGAAUAUUGGACAAUGGGCGCAAGCCUGAUCCAGCCAUCCCGCGUGGGUGAAGAAGGCCUUCGGGUUGUAAAGCCCUUUUGUUGGGAAAGAAAAGCAGCAGGUUAAUACCCCGCUGUUCUGACGGUACCCAAAGAAUAAGCACCGGCUAACUUCGUG